ACUGUAAGAUUUGGAUUCUGUGUUGCUCUUCCCUUCAAAGCGCUAAUAACACAAUUCCGCGACGUGUCAACACUGGAAACACUGUCUUGAAAUGCAACACACUAGAGAGAGAUCGUAUACCACAUUCAGUCACUUCCAGGGAGGUUCAAACACUGUAAGAUUUGGAUUCUGCGUUGCUCUUCUCUUCAAGCCGUUGAUAACACAAUUCCGCGACGUGUCAACACUAGCAACACUCUUGAAACGUAACACAAGAGAGAGAGAUCGAAUACCACAUCCAGUCACUUCCAGGGAGGUUCAAACACUGUAAGAUUUGGAUUCUGUGUUGCUGUUCCUUUCAAACCGCUGAUAACACAAUUCCGCGACCUGUCAACAUUAGAAACACUGUCUUGAAACGUAACACACUAGAGAGAGAGAUCGAAUACCACAUCCAGUCACUUCCAAAGAGGUUCAAACACUGUAAGAUUUGGAUUCUGUGUUGCUCUUCCCUUCAAACCGCUAAUAACACAAUUCCGCGACGUGUCAACACUGGAAACACUGUCUUGAAACGCAACACACGAGAGAGAGAGAGAGAGAGAGAGAGAGAGAGAGAGAGAGAGAGAGAGAGAGAGAGAGAGAGAGAGAGAGAGAGAGAGAGAGAGAGAGAGAGAGAGAGAGAGAGAGAGAGAGAGAGAGAGAGAGAGAGAGAGACUGUCAACUACCUCGCAAGAAUGAUGGGUAAGAACACACGCUUCCACGAACUCAGAUGUCAUAGGCGAGUCAUAUUAACUCCAAGUCACGUAUGUAUAAAAAUUAAGGGCGAAAUUUGACCCUUCACUAUACUUCACAAUAAAUUAGAACACAGAUUUGAGGCGUUUUAGCACUGUGAAUGAACUCUAUCGACACAGGACGAGGAACAUGUCAUGGGCGAUUCAUGUUAAUUUUAAGACACGUAUGUAUAGAAGAGCGAUAUUUGACCCUUCGCUAUCCUUCACAAUAAACUAGAACACAGAUUUGAGGCGUUUUAGCACUGUGAAUGAACUCUAUCGACACAGGACGAGGAAACAUGUCAUGGGCGAUUCAUGUUAAUUUUAAGACACGUAUGUAUAGAAGAGCGAUAUUUGACCCUUCGCUACCCUUCACAAUGCACUAGAACACAGAUUUGAGGCGUUUUAGCACUGUGAAUGAACUCUAUCGACACAGGACGAGGAAACAUGUCAUAGGCGAUUCAUGUGAAUUUUAAGACACCUGUGUUUAAGAAGGGCGAUAUUUGACCCUUCGCUAUCCUUCACAAUGCACUAGGACACAGAUCUGAGGCGUUUUAGUACUGUGAAUGAACUCUAUCGACACAGGACGAGGAAACAUGUCAUAGGCGAUUCAUAUAAAUUUUAAGUCACGUAUGUUUAAGAAGGGCGAUAUCUGACCCUUGGCUAUCCUUCACAAUGCACUAGGACACAGAUUUGAGGCGUGUUAGUACUGUGAAUGAACUCUAUCGACACAGGACGAGAGAGUUUACGU